UCCGGUUUGUCACCGGCAGUCUCACUAAAGUGCCCAACCUAAUGAUGGCAAUUAAUGAUAAGGGUUGCGCUCGUUGCGGGACUUAACCCAACAUCUCACGACACGAGCUGACGACAGCCAUGCAGCACCUGUGCGACCAUUCUCUUGCGAGCACUCCACAAUCUCUUGCAGAUCUGAUCCAUGUCAAGGGUAGGUAAGGUUUUUCGCGUUGCAUCGAAUUAAUCCACAUCAUCCACCGCUUGUGCGGGUCCCCGUCAAUUCCUUUGAGUUUUAAUCUUGCGACCGUACUCCCCAGGCGGUCAACUUCCCGCGUUAGCUGCGUUACCAAGACCUAGUUAGUCCCAACAACUAGUUGACAUCGUUUAGGGCGUGGACUAC
rnacentral:misc_RNA from 1 species